GGGUUGAGCAGCACCAGGGUCUCCAGCACAUCACCGCGGUGAUGCAGGGUCCGCUGACCUUUGACAAUGCUGGAGAAGGUGGCCGAGUGUCGGGAGACGAAGAGCUUCAGCUGCUCAUCCAGGUUGCAGGAGGUCAGGUCGAUGUCCCAGGAGCGGAUGCCUCGCUCCAGCUGCUGCAGCGCGGCCGCCAGCAGCCCGGGCCGGUGGCAGCCGCCGCCCACGAUCGCCAGCAGCGAGAAGCGGCGCGGCCCCGCGGCGGGACCGGGAGGAGCCGCCGCCACCGCCGCCGCCAUCUUCGGCGCCCCCCGCAGCCGCGCCGCCCCCAGGCCACGCCCCCUCAGCGUCAGCG
rnacentral:lncRNA from 1 species